rnacentral:rRNA from 1 species
UACGUAGGGUGCAAGCGUUGUCCGGAAUUACUGGGCGUAAAGCGCACGUAGGCGGCUUUGUAAGUUAGAGGUGAAAGCCCGGGGCUCAACUCCGGAACUGCCUUUAAGACUGCAUCGCUUGAAUCCAGGAGAGGUGGGUGGAAUUCCGAGUGUAGAGGUGAAAUUCGUAGAUAUUCGGAAGAACACCAGUGGCGAAGGCGGCUCACUGGACUGGUAUUGACGCUGAGGUGCGAAAGCGUGGGGAGCAAACAGG